rnacentral:rRNA from 1 species
GACGAACGCUGGCGGCGUGCUUAACACAUGCAAGUCGAACGGAAAGGCCCUGCUUGCAGGGUACUCGAGUGGCGAACGGGUGAGUAACACGUGGGUGAUCUGCCCUGCACUUCGGGAUAAGCCUGGGAAACUGGGUCUAAUACCGGAUAGGAGCCAUUUUUAGUGUGAUGGUUGGAAAGUUUUUUCGGUGUAGGAUGAGCUCGCGGCCUAUCAGCUUGUUGGUGGGGUAAUGGCCUACCAAGGCGGCGACGGGUAGCCGGCCUGAGAGGGUGGACGGCCACACUGGGACUGAGAUACGGCCCAGACUCCUACGGGAGGAAGCAGUGGGGAAUAUUGCACAAUGGGCGCAAGCCGGAUGCAGCGACGCCGCGUGGGGGAUGACGGCCUUCGGGUUGUAAACUCCUUUCGCUAGGGACGAAGCUUUUUGUGACGGUACCUAGAUAAGAAGCACCGGCUAACUACGUG